rnacentral:rRNA from 1 species
UGGGGAAUAUUGCGCAAUGGGGGGAACCCUGACGCAGCCAUGCCGCGUGAAUGAAGAAGGCCUUCGGGUUGUAAAGUUCUUUCGGUAUUGAGGAAGGUUGAUGUGUUAAUAGCACAUCAAAUUGACGUUAAAUACAGAAGAAGCACCGGCUAACUCCGUGCCAGCAGCCGCGGUAAUACGGAGGGUGCGAGCGUUAAUCGGAAUAACUGGGCGUAAAGGGCACGCAGGCGGUUAUUUAAGUGAGGUGUGAAAGCCCUGGGCCUAACCUAGGAAUUGCAUUUCAGACUGGGUAACUAGAGUACUUUAGGGAGGGGUAGAAUUCCACGUGUAGCGGUGAAAUGCGUAGAGAUGUGGAGGAAUACCGAAGGCGAAGGCAGCCCCUUGGGAAUGUACUGACGCUCAUGUGCGAAAGCGUGGGGAGCAAACAGGAUUAGAUACCCUGGUAGUCCACGCUGUAAACGCUGUCGAUUUGGGGGUUGGGGUUUAACUCUGGCGCCCGUAGCUAACGUGAUAAAUCGACCGCCUGGGGAGUACGGCCGCAAGGUUA